rnacentral:rRNA from 1 species
UACGGAGGGGGCUAGCGUUAUUCGGAAUUAUUGGGCGUAAAGGGCGCGUAGGCGGCCCGGUAAGUCAAAGGUGAAAUCCCUCGGCUCAACUGAGGAACUGCCUUUGAAACUGUCGGGCUUGAGGCCGGGAGGGGGUAGCGGAAUUCCCAGUGUAGCGGUGAAAUGCGUAGAUAUUCGGAAGAACACCAGUGGCGAAGGCGAACUCACUGGACAGGUAUUGACGCUGAGGUGCGAAAGCGUGGGGAGCAAACAGGG